rnacentral:snRNA from 2 species
GUCUUUAUGCAGGGGCAUUACGUGUAUCAGUGAGGAUUCGUCCGAGAUCAUGUUUUUGCUGGUUGAAAACUUAAACCUGACAACUUCUUGAAUGCUAUAGUAUUUUACUUGUGUGUUUAAGAGAAUUUUUGGAACCAUUUUUUUUCAUAAUCAUCAAACAUGUGGGAAAUCACGAAUAAUG